CUUCUGAUGAGGAUACCUUUUGUCCAGUUCUGCUGCUGAAUGGAAAGUGAUGGCAAUCUUAUUUAUCUGAGGAAG
rnacentral:snoRNA from 1 species